CAGUCAGGCCACAUGUUCAGCAGCCAGCCUGUUGUAUCCACCGCAGAUGAACCGACUGAACUGUGCAUAGAAAGACCAGGCAGCUGACAUCUGGCUGUGAGCAGAGAGCUAGAAGUGAAGUAGAGCAGGAGUCAAGGUCCACGCGACGAGAUAUCCUGAAAACUGAUCAGGAAGCAACUGAAAUCAGCUUGUUUAGGAAAUCUGGAGUCUGGGGCUGAAGGACAAUAAGGAGCCUGCAGCCACCAAAAGGCAUUUCUUGGACCUCAGCAGCCCAGAACUUGACCCUAAACAGCAGGAAAGAUGGAGUGCAGCAGGGAUCCAAACGGCUACAGCUUGACAUUGGUCAAACCGAGGCCUCCUUCAUCAACACAAAGCCAGACGGACUCUUUCCUGACCGCAGCCCGGUUGGCCCGCGAAGGACUGCUGGAGGACGGAAGAACAGGACGGCAGUUUUCUGCUCUUGGACAGUCUCCUUCUAGUUCACAAGAAAACCAUGGUGCUGUCUUGAAAGGCCUGAGGAUCAGGCGGUACACCGUCGUCUCCAGGAGGAAGAAGGAAACCGACAGAAAGACGAACAAUGAAGAGGGAAAGCAGACCCCUCAAGGUGCCUUCACAGCAAAAAUAGAAGCAGAGAGACAGAAGGUGUGUUUCAGUGCAUCUGACUGUCGCCUCACAUGUAGACAACCUGGAAGGUUUAAAGUUGCAGUAUUACCUGUAAUAGCGGAAAUUUAGGCAACACUAUAGUCAGGGUUCCAGACUUGUUGGUAAAUUUGUGGUUUUGAGGUUUGAAAAACACCUGAAGGCUAAUGUUUGGUUAUUCCUAACAUCAGCACUAUCUAGUUUAAGAGAAAGUCUAUGUUUAAGGAUAUUAGAUUAAGCACUUGAUUUAAGUACUGAGACUACAGGAGACAGCCAUCAGCCUUUAUUAAAUACAUCACCUGAAGUCAAUAGUUUGUAUUUGACUGUUUUCCAACUAAGACACACUAGCUUCACCCUGCAACCUUAAGGCAGUGGCAGUGACACCCAUAGUUUCAGGGGGGGAAACAUUUAUAUGUGAACACAUUUCAAUUUACUAGAGAUUAAAACACUGACAUCUAGUGGCCAUAAGUGGAUGUUCAGCUGCACAAGAUUUUUCCCGUUACAACCUGUAACUAAUAUAUUUUAUUUGGAAAGUAGCACAUUAUUAUAUGGGGAAGGGAACUGCCAAUAUAUAUUUUUUAAUUGUUUUUAAAAAAUAGUUUUUUUAUUUUUACAUUUUUGUCAUUAAAAACAACCUGGAAAGUGUGGAGUGCAUUUCUGUCCAAGCAAUCGCACAAAACCUACAAGUGUUUGAUAGAUCUAGGGAGACUGAUGUAAGACA